rnacentral:lncRNA from 1 species
GCGGGAGCUGCUGCCUUGGGAAGCCUGGGUUCUGGCGGAUCCGAUGGGAAAGUCCGGUCUGGCUGCCAUCUCCAAGGCCUCACGGCAGCCGGAGGGCUGUGCUGGGCGUUGGACCUGCCCUAUGGUGCUUGAUGUCGCUGGACCCGGGACCACCUCUUAGUGCUGUCCUCCUCUCUAGAGCCCAGAUGAAAAAUGACGAGUCCUUGGGAGGGCAGGGGUUGGGGAGCAAGUGUUCCUAAAGGUUCUGGGAAUUCAGGGGUUGGGGAAAAGGAGACAGCCAGGAUAGACAUAGGCCGAGCCCACAUCGACCUUCCUUCCAAGACAGCCCCUCACUGCCCUGUGCCAUGCCAGUGCCAGCACCAUCAUCACUGGAAAGGCCUCUCCUUGCAUGCCUUUGGCUUUGGGGAGCUCACCACCUCAAACAGCUCUAAUGGGGAGAAAUUUUCUUCAGCUGCUGUCUCUUGUCUCUCUACAGUCCCUGGCUCUUUGCCUGGGGUACCCUGAGAGCCCUGCCUCAGAGUCUUCUGGGACAUCGCUGGGGUGCCCAAGACUGCAGUAGUCAGUCCCAUGGGCAGGCAGGGAGUACUGACUGUCAUCAUCAGCCAACGAGCAACCAGAAAGGCCAGGGGACUUGGCUGGCUGGCCUAGCUGGCAUCGGAUUUGGGGGGAGUCUUCCAGCCCCAGGCACUGUCUCGGCAGACUGGGGGAGGGCAGGAAGGAUGGGAAUAUGGAAGCAGAAGAAGGAGGAGAAAAAGAAGGGAAGGAGGAGGAAGGAGGACCAGGAUCUGGCCUGGAGCUCGGUUGCCAGGGGCAACAGCAUUGCAUUCUGAGGAGGAACCAGAUGCUGAGGAGGGCGGCAGGAGGAGGGGAGCUGGGGUCCAGGCAGCAGAUCCAAGGCUCCUAGGGCUUGGGGGCGGGGGUACCCAUUUGGCAAGAACCCCAGGAGUCCCAAGUGUGUGUGGAGCCCUGGUGAGAGCUCCUUAGUGGCUAUUCUGACCCCAGGGCUCAGAGGCAGACAUGUGGAGUGGGAGGAAGGCGGGGAGGGCUGGGCCAGCCACAUUUGUAAGCUCCCCACAGCCGCUCUCCAGGCUACAAUUUGUCUAGGACUCCAGAGCGAAAGCAGUUGUGAGGCUGGGACCGGGGCAGGGCUGGGGAGGAAUGCUUAAUCCAGCCAGCGCUGGGGGCCACACCCGGGCCUGCUGGGGCACUGGCCUGCCCUCCCCUCCUGCUGCCUCAGUCCAGGGGAGGAACAGGAAAAGUGCACACUGAAGGCUGGAGUCCUCUAAGGCCGUGGGCACUCCCCAGCCCCUCUCAGCUUCAUUUUCUGUGUCUAUAAAAUGGCGCAAAAAAACCUUGCUCUUGGACACGUUUAUCAGCAGUUGUCUACGUGCAAUGUCGGGGGCGGGGGCGCUUGUUAAGACAAUAAGAAAUAAAGGAGAAAAACGUGAUCAAAGGAAGUCACAUUCACCUUGCAUUUAGCGGGGGAUUUGUACCCCUCUUUUCCAGGCCAGCAAACCAAGGCUCAGAGAGAGCUGGGUAUUGAAAGUGCUGGGAACUAAGCAUACCCUGUAAGACUCCAAAGCCCUCCCCACCUCUUGUUGCUCCCACCAGGACCUCCCUGAUGUUGCCCUUGGAGUAACCCCCAGGCCAGAACUAGGUGUCAUUUUCAAGCCUCCUCCCCAAAUGUCCCCGCAACCCCUCCCUGGUUUCCUAGCAUCAACCUCCAUUCAACCUCCUCAACCUCCUCUGCCC